GGUUGCUGCAGAGGAUAGC
rnacentral:siRNA from 1 species